rnacentral:rRNA from 1 species
GACGAACGCUGGCGGCGUGCUUAACACAUGCAAGUCGAGCGGUAAGGCCCUUUCGGGGGUACGACGAGCGGCGAACGGGUGAGUAACACGUGGGUGACCUGCCCUCAGCUCUGGGAGUAAGCCUGGGGAAACCGGGUACCUAAUAACUGGAUAUGACUCCAUGACGCAUGUUGGUGGGGUGGAAAGCCUUGUGCGGCUGAGGAUGGGCCCGCGGCCUAUCAGCUUGUUGGUGGGGUGA